rnacentral:rRNA from 1 species
AUUGAACGCUGGCGGCAGGCCUAACACAUGCAAGUCGAGCGGAUGAAGGGAGCUUGCUCCUGGAUUCAGCGGCGGACGGGUGAGUAAUGCCUAGGAAUCUGCCUGGUAGUGGGGGAUAACGUCCGGAAACGGGCGCUAAUACCGCAUACGUCCUGCGGGAGAAAGUGGGGGAUCUUCGGACCUCACGCUAUCAGAUGAGCCUAGGUCGGAUUAGCUAGUUGGUGGGGUAAAGGCCUACCAAGGCGACGAUCCGUAACUGGUCUGAGAGGAUGAUCAGUCACACUGGAACGGAGACACGGUCCAGACGACUACGGGAGGCAGCAGUGGGGAAUAUUGGACAAUGGGCGAAAGCCUGAUCCAGCCAUGCCGCGUGUGUGAAGAAGGUCUUCGGAUUGUAAAGCACUUUAAGUUGGGAGGAAGGGCAGUAAGUUAAUACCUUGCUGUUGUGACGUUACCAACAGAAGAAGCACCGGCUAACUUCGUG